rnacentral:lncRNA from 1 species
AGCCGGGCCAAUAGCAGGCCAGCGCCAACGCAGAGGAGGCCGCGCCCGGCCCAGGGAGAUGCAGGUGUGGGAACUUGGGGUACGGCCCAGGUCCAUGUGCCACCAGGGCCCUGAGGGCCCAUGAAAUGUUUUAAUUUUAAUUUCUUCUAUAAUCAGAAGGAAAAAUGAGUAAACAAUAGUGAAUUUAUAAUGAGUUCAGCCUAGGUUAUAUUGGUCUGUAAUCCAAUGCAGUCAUAAAAUAUGAUUUUUAAUAUUUAUGGAGGAAGGGCCUGGGAAGGCAGAGGUGCCCUGGCCCAUGAAGGUCAGCUCUGAUCCUGGCUAGUUCAGACUGUCCCAGGGCCAAGGGUCCAAUGUCUGGCCCCAAGAGUUCUUGGGUUCCCUGUGAAUCGGGCUUCUCCAGAGGCUAGAGGGAUAUCCGUGCCUGCUGUGGAGAGAAGCCAGGGCCUGGUCCCCUGCGUGUGUGUGUGUGUGUGUGUGUGUGUCCUCAUGUGCACACAUGCGUGUUUCACAAUGGAUUCCCAGACAUCUGAGUGUGCAAGUUCCAAUUCAAGAGGCACACAUGUGCAAGGCCGGGUCAGGGCAGUGUGUGAGGGUCGGAUUGUGGGGCGCUAUUGCCCCCUAAGAAAGAGCAGGCUUCCAGGCGGUCCAUAGCCUCUGCACCCACGCGCUCGUCCAGCAGCAUCCAGGGAAACUCAACAAGCUGCAAACAGCUACAUCUGUGAUCUCAUGUGUUCCAGCAACUGCUUUAGAAGGUAACAAUAAAGAGGUGAGAGUCACUUAAUAACAAAAUUCAUUUACUCUAAAAAAUACACGUCUGUAUAUCCCAAAUAACUAGUCGAUGAGCUAAUGAGCUAGCCAACACUUUUCACACUCAGUCCUGAAAACCCUAAGCAUAUUCUACAUAAGUGUCCCGCUUCUCAUUCUCCACAUGUCAAGGGCUCAGAUGCCACACAUGACUGCUUCAGACACUUCAGGGUUAGCAGGGUCCUGUGUCCCCAUGUCCUUCCUCCCAGAGUGGUGAAGACUGGUUUUAUGCUUUUUUUUUUUUUGCUAGCGUCCGUCUUGGUCAGGAAAGGACUCUUCUACUGGUUCACCAAGCCCCCCGCGUCCUUGGGAGCCAAAAGCAUGGGUGUUGGGCUGUAAGCUUCCAGAGCAAGGGGGAACUGGUGGAAAGGGCUCUUCAACUGUGCUCCCAGACGCCAGCGGACGAUACAAAGGGCUGGCUUCAGGCUCACAAUAGUGGGGUGGUUAGUCACAGUGCCAGGGCAGCGGGCAGGGAGACAGAGCCCCUGUGUCUGUGCCUGUUGGGCCGGGCCCUGCAGCCCCCGUGCCCCUGCCUGUGGCUUUUGUUUGCAGCACCCACCCCGCUCCCCACGUUAACCCCCUGCUGCCCACCGCCUACCUGGCAGCCAGGCUGGUGACCUCCUUGCCGGGCUCUGGUUUCCAGCAGCCAUCCUGGCCAGAGGUACGCUGCUGCCUUAAACUGGGUCAGGCCUCCGUGGUUUCACUGGCCGCUCUUGGGAAACAGGCUUCAGCAGGCUCCGUCCUGAUCCCCGUGGCUGGCCAGCGUCCCUGUGGCUGUGGCCGAGGGGGGAUUUCGUAUUACUUAGAGAACCGAGUGUGCCAGGCUCCCUACUUUCAGCUCUCACCAGCAUUUGAAAGUACGCAACGUCCAAAGACCACGUUUCUAGAAGCACCGAGCAGGGACACUGGGAAACUAAGGAGUGGCCCUGAAGCGGUUGGUGACUGUGUGUCUUCAAGUGAGCAGGCUGAUAUAAAUAUUUUAAUCCUGUGUGUAGAUAGAUGGAUAAGAUAAAACACAUUAGUGAUGACCCCGCCCUGUCUGGAGAGUCCUUGAAAGCGGCCUUUGCUGUAUCCGCCUCAGCGUUUGCUAUUUAGUAGUUACCAUUAAAUUCCUCCUUCCACGUUGCUGUCCCAGAGCCUCAGAGGCUGAAGUAGCGUUUUGUUGUGAUUUGACAGUUAAAUUAUUGACACUCGCGGAAGGUAAUUUCCCCCCAAAAGGUAUAAAACACAGCUAACAGUUUCUCUCUCUUUUUAAUGUAAAAAUCAUCUCUGCGAAGAUUCUGCACUUUGGUUUUUCUUUGCUGAAUUAACGUGGCAUGUGUUUUUGUUUUAGAAAGCAGAGAUGUUUUCUAGUGCCCAGUGUGAGGAGGGGAAGUACAAUCAGGGGUCUUUUGAAAAUGUGCCCAUCUACCUACAGCUUAAAAAUUCCAAGUGCCCGACGUUUCUCUUGGAAGAAAUAAAUGUGUCCAAUUUAGUCAUCUUACCUGUUGAUUGUAUUUUGUGAUUAUUUAUUUUAUAAUUG